GGGAGGUGGAAUUCCCCGUGUAGCCGUGAAAUGCGUAGAUAUUCGGAAGAACACCGAUGGCGAAGGCAGCCCCCUGGGCCAAUACUGACGCUCAUGCACGAAAGCGUGGGGAGCAAACAGGAUUAGAUACCCUGGUAGUCCACGCCCUAAACGAUGUCAACUAGGUGUUGG
rnacentral:rRNA from 1 species